rnacentral:rRNA from 1 species
UGCCAGCCGCCGCGGUAAUACGGAGGGUGCGAGCGUUAAUCGGAAUCACUGGGCGUAAAGCGUACGUAGGCGGCGUAUUAAGUCAGAGGUGAAAUCCUGCCGCUCAACGGUAGAAUGGCCUUUGAUACUGAUAGACUUGAGUUAUUGUGAAGUAGUUAGAAUGUGUAGUGUAGCGGUGAAAUGCAUAGAUAUUACACAGAAUACCAAUUGCGAAGGCAGAUUACUAACAAUACACUGACGCUGAGGGACGAAAGCGUGGUUAGCGAACAGGAUUAGAUA